GAUGAACGCUGGCGGCGUGCCUAAUACAUGCAAGUCGAGCGAACGGACGAGAAGCUUGCUUUUCUGAUGUUAGCGGCGGACGGGUGAGUAACACGUGGAUAACCUACCUAUAAGACUGGGAUAACUUCGGGAAACCGGAGCUAAUACCGGAUAAUAUUUUGAACCGCAUGGUUCAAAAGUGAAAGACGGUCUUGCUGUCACUUAUAGAUGGAUCCGCGCUGCAUUAGCUAGUUGGUAAGGUAACGGCUUACCAAGGCAACGAUGCAUAGCCGACCUGAGAGGGUGAACGGCCACACUGGAACUGAGACACGGUCCAGACUCCUACGGGAGGCAGCAGUAGGGAAUCUUCCGCAAUGGGCGAAAGCCUGACGGAGCAACGCCGCGUAAGUGAUGAAGGUCUUCGGAUCGUAAAACUCUGUUAUUAGGGAAGAACAUAUGUGUAAGUACCUGUGCACAUCUUGACGGUACCUAAUCAGAAAGCCACGGCUAACUACGUG
rnacentral:rRNA from 1 species